AUGGACAGUUAAACAUAGUUUGAAGACUUACGCUAAGGUUAACUUUAGUUUAAAGACUAGUUUUGAUCUUUUUUUGUUUCGGACUACAAAUAUUUGUGGGCCUUUCUAGCUGGUAUGUUGGUCUGGUCGGUGAGAACUUUAGAGAUGCUGCAAAAGUUAGGGAAUUCUUUGCUUUCAUGCAUGAAAAUAUUCUUCUUAAGUAAUGGGUUUUCGUUUAUGUAUAAUACAAAGCCUUGAUGGUGGUUUGUCCUCAGGGAACUUGGGAUUGGUGGGAGUUUGAAAUGCCAUGUUUUGUUUUUAAAGAUUUCUUUAUUUAUAUGCGAUACCAGACCAACAGACACACUCUCCGCGAAAUCCAGCGCUUAAUUCUAUGACUUUUCCAUAAAUGUUUUAUGACAUUUUCUAUAGAUUUUAUUUUGGAAUUAAAUUAUGAAUUAAAU
rnacentral:lncRNA from 1 species